GGGUGUGACUCAGUGGUAGAGAGCUUGCCUACCAUGCACAAGGUCUUGGUUCAAUCCCCAGAACCACA
rnacentral:tRNA from 1 species